rnacentral:rRNA from 1 species
AAUUCGAAGCAACGCGAAGAACCUUACCAGGCCUUGACAUGCAGAGAACUUUCCAGAGAUGGAUUGGUGCCUUCGGGAACUCUGACACAGGUGCUGCAUGGCUGUCGUCAGCUCGUGUCGUGAGAUGUUGGGUUAAGUCCCGUAACGAGCGCAACCCUUGUCCUUAGUUACCAGCACGUUAUGGUGGGCACUCUAAGGAGACUGCCGGUGACAAACCGGAGGAAGGUGGGGGAUGACGUCAAGUCAUCAUGGCCCUUACGGCCUGGGCUACACACGUGCUACAAUGGUCGGUACAAAGGGUUGCCAAGCCGCGAGGUGGAGCUAAUCCCAUAAAACCGAUCGUAGUCCGGAUCGCAGUCUGCAACUCGACUGCGUGAAGUCGGAAUCGCUAGUAAUCGUGAAUCAGAAUGUCACGGUGAAUACGUUCCCGGGCCUU